UUUUCUUUUUUAAAGCUAUCUUAUAAUUGCAUCUACAUCAUUUAUAUUCUCUCUAUAACAAUUUUUCAUAAAAACUCCCCCUAAAAAUAAUCGUUAGUG
rnacentral:tRNA from 1 species